AGAAGACUAGUUUAACAAACAUGAAGUUUCGACCUCCAAAUUCUCAGUACCUAUUAAUCUGAGGUCUUCAA
rnacentral:tRNA from 1 species